GUCGACGAGUUGUGAAGAUGUUAUUAGAACUUACAAUAGAGCAACUGAACGCAAAAGAAACAAGAAUGAAGAAUGGUGGAUACUACAAGCCAACACACUGUCACUCUCAACACAAGUUGCCAUAAUUAUUCCCUAUAGAGAUCGUUAUUCACACCUCUUGCUGUUUCUUCAUUACAUGCUUUCUAUUAUCAUUUGACAAACACUGUCUGCUUUACAAGGCUGGAGAUUGUCCAUUCAAUCGUAUUAUGCUGUUCAAUGUGGGUGUAUUGGAAGCAUCUAAAGAUGAAAGGUGGGACUGCUAUGGUUUUCACGAUGUUGAUUUGAUGUUGGAAGAUGACAGAUUAUUCUCCACUUGCCCUAAGAAAGGUCCCAGAGCUCUUGCAAUUGCUUUAGACAAGUGGAAUUAUGAAAUCAUACACAGAUAUCUCUUUGGUGCAAUUGUCAUCAUUUCCAGGCAACAAUUCUUGAGCGUCAACGGUUUCUCCAAUCUCUAUUAGGGAUGGGGAGGAGAAGACGAUGACUUGCUUACAAGAGUUGAAAUGAUGGGCAUGAAGGUUGAACGUGAGGACACAUCCGUGGCAAGAUAUACAACUGCUUCUCAGGAUCACAUUAGUGCUCCACAAAAUCCUGUCAGAUUUGAUCUAUUGUUUGAUGCUCGUUAUCCGGUGAGCAUGGACGGUUUAGAUACUACAGUUCACAAAGUGAUAUCUCGCAAGGAGUUUUCACUCUACACGAUCAUUACUGUCGCAUUGGGAGACACCAGUAAUCAGAUACCUCGAGCGUAUGUUGGACAGUGAUGUGGGCAUUGUGUAUGCUUACAACAGAUCCGACUUCGAGAUGAUUUUUGUUUGCAUAAUUUUGUGUGACGGUGGCAGCUCUGUCAAAUUUAAUUAACGCAGGCGUUGCGUUUACUGGAGAUUGUUGAUAGUUCUAUUUGUGCAUAAUGCUGCAUAGUGGCAUGAUUUUUACUUUGCUUUUGCUGUUCUGAUGUGUUUUGGCAGCAGCAGUUGUUGCCUGCCU